rnacentral:rRNA from 1 species
AGUGAACGCUGGCGGUAGGCCUAACACAUGCAAGUCGAACGGCAGCACAGUAAGAGCUUGCUCUUACGGGUGGCGAGUGGCGGGCGGGUGAGGAAUACAUCGGAAUCUACUUUUUCGUGGGGGAUAACGUAGGGGAACUUACGCUAAUACCGCAUACGACGUACGGGUGAAAGCAGGGGAUCUUCGGACCUUGCGCGAUUGAAUGAGCCGAUGUCGGAUUAGCUAGUUGGCGGGGUAAAGGCCCACCAAGGCGACGAUCCGUAGCUGGUCUGAGAGGAUGAUCAGCCACACUGGAACUGAGACACGGUCCAGACUCCUACGGGAGGCAGCAGUGGGGAAUAUUGGACAAUGGGCGCAAGCCUGAUCCAGCCAUACCGCGUGGGUGAAGAAGGCCUUCGGGUUGUAAAGCACUUUUGUUGGGAAAGAAAAGCAGCAGGUUAAUACCCCGCUGUUCUGACGGUACCCAAAGAAUAAGCACCGGCUAACUUCGUG